AAAUGAGAGUUUGAUCCUGGCUCAGGACGAACGCUGGCGGCGUGCCUAAUACAUGCAAGUCGAGCGAGCUUGCCUAGAUGAAUUUGGUGCUUGCACCAGAUGAAACUAGAUACAAGCGAGCGGCGGACGGGUGAGUAACACGUGGGUAACCUGCCCAAGAGACUGGGAUAACACCUGGAAACAGAUGCUAAUACUGGAUAACAACACUAGACGCAUGUCUAGAGUUUAAAAGAUGGUUCUGCUAUCACUCUUGGAUGGACCUGCGGUGCAUUAGCUAGUUGGUAAGGCAACGGCUUACCAAGGCAAUGAUGCAUAGCC
rnacentral:rRNA from 1 species